rnacentral:tRNA from 1 species
GGGGCUGUAGCUCAGCUGGGAGAGCACCUCCCUUGCACGGAGGGGGUCGCAGGUUCAAGCCCUGUCAGCUCCA